rnacentral:sRNA from 1 species
AGCCGCAUCGGUUAGAUCGGGAUACUCAUCAAAUUUAUUCUGAAAACCGAGAAAGCUUCGUCCAUCAAUGGCGGGCCACGCCUUCGGGUAGCUGAAUAAGCCGGUGGAUUACAAAGAUGGCGGGCACUCAAAACUUGUUAGUUAGGAGUUUUCAUCACAUCAUCGGUGCGGCUUUCUU